GUAUAGGUAUGGCAGGUGUGUAUAGGUAUGGCAGGUGUGUAUAGGGAUGGCAGGUAUAGCAGGUAUGUAUAGGUAUGGCAGGUGUGUAUAGGUAUGGCAGGUGUAUAUAGGGAUGGCAGGUGUGUAUAGGUGUGUAUAGGUAUGGCAGGUGUGUAUAGGUAUGGCAGGUGUGUAUAGGGAUGGCAGGUGUGUAUAGGUGUGUAUAGGUAUGGCAGGUGUGUAUAGGGAUGGCAGGUGUGUAUAGGUGUGUAUAGGGAUGGCAGGUGUGUAUAGGGAUGGCAGGUGUGUAUAGGUGUGUAUAGGGAUGGCAGGUGUGUAUAGGCAGGUGUGUAUAGGGAUGGCCAAACAGGGAAUGUGAUUGUGUAUGUAGGGAAGUGAAACCCAUGAGAUAGUUGACGAGAUGAUAAAAGAUAUUUUGCACAAAAUACUUCCUUCCCUCACGGUAAGUGUUUGCAAAGCAGGUUGCAUGUGCCUGAGUGGUGUGUGUGAUGUUCGUCUGUGUGUGUGUGUGGGAAGGCAACACAAGUCAACCAUGUACAACAUUCAGAGUCCCUCUCAAGCGGACCCAACUGCCAUUAGCAGGGCCAGACGGCCAUCGCCAUCGUAGAGAAAGCCAUUACACCACGUCGUCAUCGUAGAGAAAGCCAUUACACGUCUGUGUUCCGUUACCUGACCAGAAGAGUUUUACAUUCAGUUCAGUAGCUUGAACAUUCUGUUGUAUUCUGAAUACGAUGGGUGGAUACGUUUACGAUCACCAGAUAACCUAGUAGUUGAACACGGGGCCCCGACUCUAAACUAACAAGCGCACUGUAGAACCCUGCGCAUAUAGAACCCAGCGCACUGUAGAACCCUGCGCACUGUAGAACCCUGCACACUGUAGAACCCAGCACACUGUAGAACCCUGCGCACUGUAGAACCCAGCACACUGUAGAACCCUGUACAUUUGUAGAACCCUGCGCACUGUAGAACCCAGCACACUGUAGAACCCUGCGCACUGUAGAACCCUGUACGUUUGUACGGUUGAUAUUUCAUGUCCUACUCUGUUGGUGUAAGAUGUGUUUUAAUGUUGCAAGCCAGAGGGUGUUUUUGAUUUGUCUUUUUAUUUAAGGAGCAGACGUUGGUCUGGUUGAAGAUUGAAUCUUUUACUGACUGUAGAGUCCAUCUCUGCUCUCACCACAAGUGGCCAUAACAGUGACCGCACCCACUCCUGUUUUAUUUUAUUUUUUAAACCAAACCAAAAAAAUCCAUUAAUGAUGUUUCAAAUAAUGUGCUGUACUUACACACUGCCUACUGACGUGCAUUUACUCUUCCUGUCAUUGAGAGUGAAUCUAAAACACUAUAAAACAAAGGCAAUCAGACAGAGUGGCAUUCCUGGCACCUGGCCAGAUGAUUGAUUGAUUAUUUGAUCUGUGAUGAUUGAUUGAUUAUUUGAUCUGUGAUACAAAUAUGUGUGGAUGUCUUGUUGUUUUGUCUAAAGGACAUUUUGCAUAGUCAAAGUCAAAGUUACUUUAUUAGCAUAAAGCAAAUGGCAUCAACAUUUGCACUUUGUUGUUGCUUUGUGCUGCCUUGCUGAACUACAGCACACGGCGUAAUAACUAGCCCUUUGGACGGUGAAGGGAGCUUGCAGACGGAGGUCCAGCUUCAGGAAAGAGGGAGUGCCAUUGGUCAGGAAAGAGGGAGUGCCAUUGGUCAUGCAGCGUGAUCUUGGGUAGAUUCCAGCAUUCCUUCUGUAUGUGCUAAACCAUAUCAAUUAUUUAUGUUCACAAACAGUCCCGUAGUUCUGUAUGUGCUUAACCAUAUCAAUUAUUUAUGUUCACAAACAGUCCCGUAGUUCUGUAUGUGCUUAACCAUAUCAACAAACGUAGUUUCAUCUUGCUCUAUUCUUAUGUUUGUCUCAGACUACUAUGUUUGUUCGGUACACUACUUAAGGAAAACAAUAAAACAAUAAAUUCUAGGAUUAAAAAUA